rnacentral:rRNA from 1 species
GGCCGCGGGAAUUCGAUUCAGGCCUAACACAUGCAAGUCGAGCGGUAGAGAGAAGCUUGCUUCUCUUGAGAGCGGCGGACGGGUGAGUAAUGCCUAGGAAUCUGCCUGGUAGUGGGGGAUGACGUUCGGAAACGGACGCUAAUACCGCAUACGUCCUACGGGAGAAAGCAGGGGACCUUCGGGCCUUGCGCUAUCAGAUGAGCCUAGGUCGGAUUAGCUAGUUGGUGAGGUAAUGGCUCACCAAGGCGACGAUCCGUAACUGGUCUGAGAGGAUGAUCAGUCACACUGGAUUGGGGACACGGUCCAGACUCCUACGGGAGGCAGCAGUGGGGAAUAUUGGACAAUGGAAGAAAGCCUGA